GUGAACAAAGUUGAGGAACUGAUCAAAACGGAACAAUGGGGGGGGGGAAGUAUGACUCUUUUUCAACAACCUGCCUCUGUCUCCCAAGUGCUGGAAUUAAAGGCAUGCACCACCACUGACUAGCAGCUUAAUUCUUUUAUGAGUACCCUCUAGAAUCCUUCUCAUUUAAUAUUUUUCUUAGAGUCAAAUUGUUCAUUGCCUUAUAUUAAUUAAACAUUUGCUAUGUACCAUGUUACUCAUGUGGGUCAUUUCUCUGAAAAUUUUCACUUAAAAAAUAUGGGAAUUUUGCUGGGUAUGAAACACUACAAGAAUGGAGACUAAGCAAGACCCUGACUAAAAAGGGAAGAACCUGAAAGGACACGAGAUGCUGAACUAAAGCUUUAGCUCACACCUGUAACUCCUGAACCCAGGAGGCUGAGGCAGAGCAGCAGCAUGGUCUUGAGGCCUGCCUGGGUGAGCCGGCUUGGGCUACGAGGGGGAAAAAUGGAGGGGGAGGGAUUAAAUCCAAUUGAGUUCUAGUCUUUUGUUGCCUUGGUUCUACUCUAUUAAGUCCUGAGGUUUAGUCUUUAUGAAAAACCAUAGAUCCACACUGUAGUGUCAACCUUGUUAGAAAUGGAUUAUUUCUCCCGGAAUUUUUUUGCUGUUUCCAAAAGAGAAACUCCAUUGACAGCUCAGGCAGAGUGGCUGCCUAGCAUGUCAAGGCUCUGGGUUUGAUCUGGAGUGCCAGGGGGAAAAAAAAUCUAGUCAGAUUGUUUACUAAGAAAUCCCAGCAAUGGGACUUCAAAUGAGAAGUGUGAUUAAUAGAGCAGGGAAGAUGCUAUUCUUCUCUAGUUUCUCUUCUCCUCUACAGAUCUGAAAAAUCUGGACCCUAAAUGUGUGAACUGCCAAAGGCAGAAGCAGCAGGCAAAUAUCCCAGCCUUGAGUCAUUGUCCUCACAGUCCAAGGAAGGCGGGAGAGGCUGGAGGCAGAAGAGGCAAGCAGAAUGCACCCCAUGCCCCUCUCUGUUUCCGUCUGCUGACCACCCAUCCCACCUCUGCUGCUGACAAUUUCAAGUGGGAAGGAGCUCUUCAGUUAGCUCUUAAAAGGAUAGCAUGUAUCUCACACAGAAAACCAAAAGAAAAUAUAAUUAGUAAUUUAUUA